GUUUCAUGUAGAGGCACCACACACAAAAGCGCAUACAAAAAUGUCUGCUGACAUAGAGCAUAGAACCAUAGAGUGGGGGGGGGCUUCAGAGGCCAACCCCCAGCUUGAUCCAGAUAGCCCAGAGCUGGAGCAUCCACAAGACAUUACUCUUUAGCUUCUGUUUGAAGAACUCCAGUGAGGAAGAGCCCACCACCCCUCUAGCAACACAAACGCGUGGAAUUGGUUAAACUUUGAGACUAUAUGAUAUUGUAACUUGACCAAAAGGCCAAGAAAUGAGCAUCAUGGAGAAGAAAAGCAGAGCAGAGGAGGAGCCCAACUAGAGAGGAGGUAAAGACAGAGGAACCUGACCCAAGGCAGCCUGCAAUUCUGCAUGAAAAGAUUUAUUUAAUGAUGUAUUUUAAGAAUGUUUACCUCCCAUUCUUCUGCUGAAAAGUAGCUUCCAGUUUAACUUCCUGAUCAUUUGAGGUCCAGCUCCGAGGGCCUGGCAGUUCCCUCACUGCAAGAAGUGAAGUUACAGGGAACAGAGGGCCUUCUCGGUAGUGGCGCCUGCCCUGUGGGAACGCCCUCCCAUCAGAUGUAAAGGAAAUAAAGAACUAGACAACUCUCCGAAGAUACCUGAAGGCAGCCCUAUAUUGGGAAGUUUUUAAUGUUUGAUGUUUUAUUAUACUUUUAGUUUUGUUGGAGGCCACCCAGAGUUGCUGGGGCAACCCCAUCAGAUGGGUGGGGUAUAAGUAAUUUUGUUUUCAUUUAUUUAUUAUUAACAGAAGUCAUUUUACAAAACAGUUCAUUAUUUAAGAAUGUAACGAUCUCUUUUUUAAUUUAUACUUCUUCCCUUAGCCACGGACUUCGACUGUGCCCAGUGGAAGAAUGGGCUGCCUUGCACAGCUCCCACCUAGACCAAACCACUAUGGCCUGGAAACUGCCUUUGGCAAUUCAGCACUGCCUGGUGACCUUUCUUGGGCUCUAAGUUGGAAUUUGCACAGAAAGAUCACUGAGCAGGACAGGGAGAAACAGUGAAGAAGGUGGAAGCGGCAAGCAGGUUAUUCGUAUCUCGACUUGCAAAAGUGCAAGAACAAUAUAUUGGCACAUUUGUUAGUAAAAAAGUAGGAGCCACGUACAUAGCUUGAGAUGUCCUAAGAUGCCAGCUAUGCAUCUGAUAUCACAGUAGGUGUCUAAGGUUCUAUUACCUUGUGGAAAUUCUUUGGAGGGAGAGGGCAAUAUUUGCUUGGGGGGGGAUAGAAACAAUACAGCUCUAUUAUAAUAUUCAUCACCACCUUUCUAAAUUUUAAAAUGCAAGGUGAGAUGGAGAUAAUAAACUGUGGCUAAAACAAAAACGUGGAAGGAAUAGAGAGGAGGCAGGAGUGCACAAACCUAAGGCGCAUUCAUAUAAUAGGUUAGCAUUGCAUCUGAAUGAGUUUUAGUAUGUAGUGUAUCACUGCACUGA